rnacentral:rRNA from 1 species
AGAGUUUGAUCAUGGCUCAGAACGAACGCUGGCGGCGUGUUAUAAGACAUGCAAGUCGAACGGGAUUUGUUUUGUAGCAAUAUGAAGCAAGUCUAGUGGCGCAAGGGUGCGUAACACGUGGGCAAUCUCCAAGAAGUGGGGGAUAGCUCGCCGAAAGGCGAAUUAAUACCGCAUAUGGCCUGUGAAGACAUCUUCACAACGCCAAAGCGGGGCAACCUGGCGCUUCCUGAUGAGCCCGCGGCCUAUCAGCUAGUUGGUGAGGUAACGGCUCACCAAGGCGAUGACGGGUAGCUCUGAGAGGACGACCAGCCACACUGGAACUGAGACACGGUCCAGACACCUACGGGUGGCAGCAGUCGAGAAUUUUUCUCAAUGGGCGCAAGCCUGAAGGAGCGACGCCGCGUGGAGGAUGAAGGUCUUCGGAUUGUAAACUCCUGUCAUUAGGGAACAAAGUCCCCGGUUAACUGCCGGCGGCCUGAUAGUACCUGAAGAGGAAGAGACGGCUAACUCUGUGCCAGCAGCCGCGGUAAUACAGAGGUCUCAAGCGUUGUUCGGAUUCAUUGGGCGUAAAGGGUGCGUAGGCGGCGAGGUAAGUCGGAUGUGAAAUCCCGGGGCUUAACCCCGGAACUGCAUUCGAUACUCCUUGCUCGAGUACUGGAGAGGAGACUGGAAUUUACGGUGUAGCAGUGAAAUGCGUAGAUAUCGUAAGGAAGACCAGUGGCGAAGGCGAGUCUCUGGACAGUUACUGACGCUGAGGCACGAAGGCCAGGGGAGCAAACGGGAUUAGAUACCCUAGUAGUCC